CAAUGAUUAAAAACAUCAAUUAAUUACAACACGUAUGGUCACCCUAGUUUAAGCUCACCUAUGCUAUAUUCCCAAGAAACUGUAUUUAGUUUGAUACUGGGCAAGGCACUGACCAUGAACUUAAUUCUGUAACCUGAUGCCGUCAGACAUGUUACAUUUACAUAUGCCGAAAAGAAAAUAUUUAAUUCAACACAAUUUCUAUUGUCCACGCUUUUAACAGUCAAAUUGUCCAAACUUUCAGCAGCUUCUAUCUUUUUGCCAUUACUUUUUAGGCCACUUUGUUACGUAAGGUUAUUUUAUUAUUGUUUUGUUUUUUACUACGACAACAUAACCACUGAGGUAAGCCUAACACACGGCUCGGCCGUCUACGUUACCUCAGACUUACACAAAGUAAUAAAGACUGAGUAAAUCUAUAAACAACAGUAAAGACAAUAAUUAAUAACAUUACCUGACUGAAAAGUUGGGCGGUUUCGCAAGUGAACGACGGCAAAUCAGUUUUAUAAAUUCUACCGUUAUUUUCAGUUGACAUGUUAGUCUCGCGCGAGCUAAGCCCCGCCCCCUCGUACGUGACAAAGCGCUCCGUCAACGAUUCGUCUCGAGCACUGUACAUCUUUAUUGUUUUUUUUUUGUUUGUUUGUUUGUUUGUUUUUUAACAAAGAUGCGUAGAAAUAGGCAGAAAUAUAAGUUAUACCUGGAACCUCACUGUAAGGCAAAGAUACCUCGCCAGACUCUGUGUCGACAUGACAGCGGAGGUGGUGAUGUUGACGAGGAAGAGAGACAAACAGCCAAUGAGACAAGUAUGUUCUCAGAGGCAGGGAGUGAGACAAACAGCAUAGAGAACAUAGAGAACAAUGAGAGAGACAGCACAGAAAGCAAUGAGAGAGACAGCACACAGAACAGUGAGAGUGACAGCAUAUAUUAUUUGUAUUAUUACAAAUGUUUGAAAUUAUAUAAACGUGUAUAUAUAACAGUUUAAUACAUGUUAAAACAUUCUUCUUUGGCUAUUAGGCCAUUGGCAUGCAUUUUAAGUCCAUUGUAAUGAUGCUUAUUUUCCAAUAAAGUCAAUUUAUUCACUGAAACGUUAAGCUUACAGUAUAUUUCUAAUCAUUUUAUAUAAUCAAAUAAUAAUAUAGGUCUGUUUGUAAGUUUAUUCAGCAUAAUCAGUGUAUUUUUUUUACUAGCCUUUUUUUUCUUUGUUGCUUAUGGUGUUUUUUAAUAGAUAUGUUCUCAGAGGCAGGGAGUGAGACAAACAGCAUAGAGAACAAUGAGAGAGACAGCACAGAAAGCAAUGAGAGACACAGCACACAGAACAGUGAGAGUGACAGCAUACAGAACAGCCAUUCAGUGUUUAGUACAUCAUUUGUGGUAUGUAAGAGUUUUAGGUUCUGUUUUUCAGAUAUAAUGAAAGCUAUGCAAAAGGUUAUUAAAGUUACACAUCAAAAAAUAAGCAUAGAAACAGCUAGAUGAAUUCAUAUUCUACAGUCUCUCAAAGUAUAUAGUACUGUACCUAAUAUGUGAAUGAAUAUAUAUAUAUAUAUAUAUAUAUAUAUAUAGAUUUUUUUUUUUUAAAUUACAGAUGUUUGAAAUUAUAUAAACAUAUACAUAACACUGUUUAAUACAUGUUAAAACCGUGCAUUUUUGUUUGGCUACUAAGCUAUUGGCAGCCAUUUUAAGUCCAUUGUAAUGAUGCUUAUUCUCCAAUAAAGCAUCAUCAGCAUACCAGCAUAAUCAGUGAUUUUUUUUACAGUCCUUUUUUUUCUUGUUGCUUAUGGUUGUUUUUUAAUAGAUAUGUUCUCAGAGGCAGGGAGUGAGACAAACAGCAUAGAGAACAAUGAGAGAGACAGCACAGAAAGCAAUGAGAGACACAGCACACAGAACAGUGAGAGUGACAGCAUACAGAACAGCCAUUCAGUGUUUAGUACAUCAUUUGUGGUAUGUAAGAGUUUUAGGUUCUGUUUUUCAGAUAUAAUGAAAGCUAUGCAAAAGGUUAUUAAAGUUACACAUCAAAAAAUAAGCAUAGAAACAGCUAGAUGAAUUCAUAUUCUACAGUCUCUCAAAGUAUAUAGUACUGUACCUAAUAUGUGAAUGAGCAGACCUACCCCCAAUCAUACCUUUAACAGAAAUGUUGCUUUUUAAAGGCAUGUGGUGGAACAGAGUCAGAGUCUGAAGUACAUGUGGUGGAACAGAGU
rnacentral:lncRNA from 1 species